rnacentral:rRNA from 1 species
CCUACGGGUGACAGCAGUGGGGAAUAUUGCACAAUGGGGGAAACCCUGAUGCAGCGACGCCGCGUGAGCGAUGAAGUAUUUCGGUAUGUAAAGCUCUAUCAGCAGGGAAGAAAAUGACGGUACCUGACUAAGAAGCCCCGGCUAACUACGUGCCAGCAGCCGCCGUAAUACGUAGGGGGCAAGCGUUAUCCGGAUUUACUGGGUGUAAAGGGAGCGUAGACGGCGGGGCAAGCCAGAUGUGAAAGCCCGGGGCUCAACCCUGGGACUGCUUUGGAAACUGUAAAACUGGAGUGCAGGAGAGGUAAGCGGAAUUCCUAGUGUAGCGGUGAAAUGCGUAGAUAUUAGGAGGAACACCAGUGGCGAAGGCGGCUUACUGGACUGUAACUGACGUUGAGGCUCGAAGGCGUGGGGAGCAAACAGGAUUAGAUACCCUGGUAGUC